UCGCUUCCUUCACACCGACUUCACAAAGAGUUCGCUUCCGCACGUGCAGGACUCAGCAGCAAGGGCGUGGGACGCGCAGGCGCCGGGAGCCCACAGGGUGGAGACCGGAGCGAGCCCGCCCUUCUCCAGCCGCGCGGCCUUUCAUUCGCGCCCCCUAUCGGCAGGGCCAGCGGGGCCGCAGAAGCGUGGCUCGCAGGGCCCAGCCGCAUGCACCGAGCUGAGCGCGCGCUGGCCUGUGUGGAGCCCAGGCAAGAACGGAGUAAUUGAUACAGAAGAGGCUUUGCGUUUUCAGGAAUGCACUGUCCCCUUUCCAGGAGCUCUGCAAGGGAGCAGGAAUGCCAGAAAGUAGCCUGUGCAGAGGCAGGAGAAUGGGAGUCCGCCACAGACUGUCUCUUUCCCCCCCCGGCCAGAGUCUCAUCCAGCCCUGGGGAAGGAAGACACCUGGUGGCAAUCAUGCACCCCACCACCUGUCCAGAUCUUAGCUCGUGGCGUCACCCCUGAGGCUGGAACAGUCUCUGAAGAGGGACUGCACAGUUCCACGGGGAACUGUGGAGGAAAACACAGGCCUGGCCUGCCAGCAAGGGAGCAAAGGGGCAGGGGAGUCCCAGAAAACGCUCUGGUCAGUAGACGCUUGAAGAUAAAACUCCGCCAUAGAAGGGUCCUCCAUACAAACAGGUAGAGCAAAAUGGACCACAUCUGCAAUAAAACUAGGUAGCAAGUUUUAUCCACAAGCCUCAAGAUGAAAGCUAUUGGGGACAAAUUCCCUAUAGCUAAGUCCAUGUGGCACCAGCAUCUGGAAGGAGUAAGCCGAGGGAAGCAACACAAUAUCUUAUAGAUCUGAGAGCAGAAGACUCAAAGCACUCCUGGAUAAUUACUGGACAGUAGUGGGCUUAUUUGUAAACAGCAGAUGAAAUAGGGAAAACAUUUUUCAUUUCCGUUCACAUGUGAAUGCAAAGAGUUUAAAGAAGUGUUCA